rnacentral:rRNA from 1 species
GACGAACGCUGGCGGCGUGCCUAAUACAUGCAAGUCGAGCGAGCGGCGGACGGGUGAGUAAUGUAUGGGGACUGCCCGAUAGAGGGGGAUAACUACUGGAAACGGUGGCUAAUACCGCAUACUAUCGGAUAACCCAUAUGGGAUUAGCUAGUAGGUGGGGUAAAGGCUCACCUAGGCGACGAUGUCUAGCUGGUCUGAGAGGAUGAUCAGCGACACUGGGACAGAGACACGGCCCAGACUGCGACGGAGGCAGCAGUGGGGAAUAGUGCACCAUGGGCGCAAGCCGGAUGCAGCCAUGCCGCGUGUAUGAAGAAGGCCUUCGGGUUGUAAAGUACUUUCAGCGAGGAGGCGUUACUCGCAGAAGAAGCACCGGCUAACUCCGUGCCAGCAGCCGCGGUAAUAC